rnacentral:rRNA from 1 species
GACGAACGCUGGCGGCGUGCUUAACACAUGCAAGUCGAACGGAAAGGCCCUGCUUUUGUGGGGUGCUCGAGUGGCGAACGGGUGAGUAACACGUGAGUAACCUGCCCUUGACUUUGGGAUAACUUCAGGAAACUGGGGCUAAUACCGGAUAGGAGCUCCUGCUGCAUGGUGGGGGUUGGAAAGUUUCGGCGGUUGGGGAUGGACUCGCGGCUUAUCAGCUUGUUGGUGGGGUAGUGGCUUACCAAGGCUUUGACGGGUAGCCGGCCUGAGAGGGUGACCGGCCACAUUGGGACUGAGAUACGGCCCAGACUCCUACGGGAGGCAGCAGUGGGGAAUAUUGCACAAUGGGCGGAAGCCUGAUGCAGCAACGCCGCGUGCGGGAUGACGGCCUUCGGGUUGUAAACCGCUUUCGCCUGUGACGAAGCGUGAGUGACGGUAAUGGGUAAAGAAGCACCGGCUAACUACGUGCCAGCAGCCGCGGUGAUACGUAGGGUGCGAGCGUUGUCCGGAUUUAUUGGGCGUAAAGGGCUCGUAGGUGGUUGAUCGCGUCGGAAGUGUAAUCUUGGGGCUUAACCCUGAGCGUGCUUUCGAUACGGGUUGACUUGAGGAAGGUAGGGGAGAAUGGAAUUCCUGGUGGAGCGGUGGAAUGCGCAGAUAUCAGGAGGAACACCAGUGGCGAAGGCGGUUCUCUGGGCCUUUCCUGACGCUGAGGAGCGAAAGCGUGGGGAGCGAACAGGCUUAGAUACCCUGGUAGUCCACGCUGUAAACGGUGGGUACUAGGUGUGGGGUCCAUUCCACGGGUUCCGUGCCGUAGCUAACGCUUUAAGUACCCCGCCUGGGGAGUACGGCCGCAAGGCUAAAACUCAAAGGAAUUGACGGGGCCCCGCACAAGCGGCGGAGCAUGCGGAUUAAUUCGAUGCAACGCGUAGAACCUUACCUGGGUUUGACAUGGAUCGGGAGUGCUCAGAGAUGGGUGUGCCUCUUUUGGGGUCGGUUCACAGGUGGUGCAUGGCUGUCGUCAGCUCGUGUCGUGAGAUGUUGGGUUAAGUCCCGCAACGAGCGCAACCCUUGUUCACUGUCGCCAGCACGUUAUGGUGGGGACUCAGUGGAGACCGCCGGGGUCAACUCGGAGGAAGGUGGGGAUGACGUCAAGUCAUCAUGCCCCUUAUGUCCAGGGCUUCACGCAUGCUACAAUGGCUGGUACAGAGAGUGGCGAGCCUGUGAGGGUGAGCGAAUCUCGGAAAGCCGGUCUCAGUUCGGAUUGGGGUCUGCAACUCGACCUCAUGAAGUCGGAGUCGCUAGUAAUCGCAAAUCAGCAACGCUGCGGUGAAUACGUUCCCGGG